GACGAACGCUGGCGGCGUGCUUAACACAUGCAAGUCGAGCGGUAAGGCCCUUCGAGGUACACGAGCGGCGAACGGGUGAGUAACACGUGGGUGACCUGCCCUCCACUUCGGGAUAAGCCUGGGAAACUGGGUCUAAUACCGGAUAGGACCGACUGGUGCAUGGUGGUUGGCGGAAAGUGUUUUCGGUGGGGGAUGGGCCCGCGGGCUAUCAGCUUGUUGGGGGGGUGACGGCCUACCAAGGCGACGACGGAUAGCCGGCCUGAGAGGGUGAUCGGGCACACUGGGACUGAGACACGGCCCAGACUCCUACGGGAGGCAGGAGUGGGGAAGCUUGCGCAAUGGGCGGAAGCCUGACGCAGCAACGCCGCGUGAGGGAUGACGGCCUUCGGGUUGUAAACCUCUUUCGCGAUCGACGAAGGCCCUCCUUGUUGGGGGGUUGACGGUAGGUCGAGAAGAAGCACCGGCCAACUACGUGCCAGCCGCCGCCGUAAGAC
rnacentral:rRNA from 1 species